rnacentral:rRNA from 1 species
UACGAAGGGGGCUAGCGUUGUUCGGAAUUACUGGGCGUAAAGCGCACGUAGGCGGAUCGAUCAGUCAGGGGUGAAAUCCCAGGGCUCAACCCUGGAACUGCCUUUGAUACUGUCGAUCUGGAGUAUGGAAGAGGUGAGUGGAAUUCCGAGUGUAGAGGUGAAAUUCGUAGAUAUUCGGAGGAACACCAGUGGCGAAGGCGGCUCACUGGUCCAUUACUGACGCUGAGGUGCGAAAGCGUGGGGAGCAAACGGGG